CGGGGUGGAGUAACGCGUGGAUAACCUGCCUCACACUGGGGGAUAACAGUUAGAAAUGACUGCUAAUACCGCAUAAGCGCACAGUCCGCAUGGUACAGUGUGAAAAACUACCGGUGGUGUGAGAUGGAUCCGCGUCUGAUUAGCCAGUUGGCGGGGUAACGGCCCACCAAAGCGACGAUCAGUAGCCGACCUGAGAGGGUGACCGGCCACAUUGGGACUGAGACACGGCCCAA
rnacentral:rRNA from 1 species